GGGGGCGAAUAGGGUUCGACGGGAGCGAUAGAAGCAAAGACAGCAAGUCGGAGUUGACCGAAGGCUCCGUAAAAAUCGGUCAAAAAAUAAACAACAAUAAAAAUGUUGCGGCAAGUCCCGAUUUCGGGGCAUUGCCUUUAGCCGCCUAAGUUGCGGCUUCGUUUUACCGAAGACAUCUGCUAUUUGGAUAAAACGUCACCUUGCAGGUUAGUUUCAGUUUGCUUGUCGCGUCAAAUUGAAAUGAAAACAAAACGGGGCUGGUUUAAAAAGUAAUCCUGUCUAGAGACGGCUUUUUAAGCGAGAAAAAAUUCUAGGCUAAACUUGUAGCGGUCUUGUUUAUACGUUUUCGGACGCGGGUUCAAUUCCCGCCGCCUCCACCA
rnacentral:tmRNA from 1 species